CAGUCGCCGCGGUAAUACGGAGGAUCCAAGCGUUAUCCGGAAUCAUUGGGUUUAAAGGGUCCGUAGGCGGUCUUGUAAGUCAGUGGUGAAAGCCCAUCGCUCAACGGUGGAACGGCCAUUGAUACUGCAGGACUUGAAUUAUUGGGAAGUAACUAGAAUAUGUAGUGUAGCGGUGAAAUGCUUAGAGAUUACAUGGAAUACCAAUUGCGAAGGCAGGUUACUACCAAUUGAUUGACGCUGAUGGACGAAAGCGUGGGUAGCGAACAGGAUUAGAGACCCCCGUAGUCCCUGUCUCUUAUAU
rnacentral:rRNA from 1 species